AAAAACUGAAGGAAGCAGAGCUUGGGUGCUAACCCUAGAAGUAAAACUGCCAGUUAUGUUACCAGCAAAAACAGGUUUAUUUGGAAUAGCAGAUAACUGCAAUCUGGGACAAGCAAGCUGCGGCAAAACCGCAGACAAAUCCAGAGGACAAAGGUAAGGAACGGGCUGCUCUUUUACGGAGGAAAAGGGGGGAGCAGGGAGGGCUGUUCUAGGCAAAAAGUCCAUUGGAAUAAACUGGGAGUUCCAAGUAUAGGGGCCUUUCCUUGGCUGAGCUGUGACAGAAUCCCAUUGGCUGGGCUGUUGCGGGAGCGGAAGGAAAAAUCUCCUUCCUCCUGCUGGGAUAGUAAAGUAGAAGCUAAGGCGGUACCAGCUCGCAAGCUACCCCUCUUCCCAUUGGGUCUGCAAUUAACCAAGGGUGGCCGGGCGUGAGAGGUCCCCGCCCCCUGCUGGCUCCUGACUCUGUUUUAAACCAGCUUUCCUUUUAUUAAUUUUCUUCGGGGUCAAUGAGAGAGAGGCCUUGCCGAGAGGGGUGUAAGUCUCUACCUGCUAAACGGAAGAGGAGCUGACCACCACCAGGUUAAGAAAAAAAUACACAUAUAUUACAAGAUGGGCGCCGUCAUGACUGAAGAGUUUACAUCCAAAGUGGUUCUGAUCGGCUGAUUGUUUCUCCUGCUGCUGCCCAGGUGGUAGACAUGACCCACAAUCAGGAUUCUCGAAGGCGAUGGAGAGAAAAGGAAAAUCUGCCCUCUCAGAGGAUAAUCAUAUAAAUGAAGAAAGAGUUAUAUCAGAGGUGGUGGACAUUUGGAUUAUUUCCAGUUUGGGGCUAUUGUGAAUAAAGCUACCAUGAAUAUCUGAGUAUAAAUCUUUGAGUGGACAUAUUUUCAUCACAUCUCUUGGGUAAAUAUCUAGCAUUGAGAUCGUUGGGAUGUAUGCAAAGGAAUAAUGAAGAAUGUCAAGAAUACACCAUAACCUUUGCAGAGGCUAACAAAAUGUCACACCAGUAUGGCACGUAUCUACAGAGCAAAUUACCGUUCUCUAAAGCAGAAGGGAUCCUUAACGGACUCAAAGGCCGUGAAAUCAGAAGCAUGGCAUGUUUAGAGCAAUGCAAGAGCCUCCAUUACACACUAAUUCAAUCUCUUCACUUUACAGGAGCAAAGCAGUGCGGAUCUCUCUUUCUGCCCUAAGGAGACUCUGCCUCGAUGCGGCUGGUGUGUGUCUUGUCCUCUCCCUGCUGGAGCCCCGCUAAGUCAUGGAGAACACUUACUGUUCCUGCCUGGGAAUCCCAGCUGCCCAGUCUUCCCUGACCGGACACCCGAUGUACUGUAAGUGGGCCAUAGGGUUUCAUCUCCAUGGAGUCAGGCUGUAACUGUGCCGGACUUUAUCCUCCUACACCCCAGGGAAAGCCUCCCAGACUAGGCCUUCAAAAGGAGGGAGUCUGAUAUAAAUGCCCCCUCUCUCUGUCCUUCUUCAACCUCUCUCUAGCUAAUGUAGUCUGUCUUUGAAGCCCCCAGUUGGGUGCCCCCAUGCCCACCCAUCCCUCAGGAAAACCCUGCCCUCCCCGUAGGAGGACGUUCCUCCCCUCGGACUUUGGUAGGGACUUGCAAACUUGAGCAUCCGAGAGGCUGUGCUUUGCUUAGUCGCAGCUGACCCUGGGAGGGCGAGGAUCAUCCCCAGUGUUUGAUGUCUUUGGCCUCCUUAGAAAUGUCCCUAAAAAGUAAUGCACACCUCUCUAAGGUGUGAAACAGGGUGCUGUUGAAAAACCCACCAGAUACCCAACAGAAGCAAGGCAAGAUUUUAUCCACAGCCUGGCCAAACCUGAUAUCCCGAUCUUAAGGAGAAAAGUGCCAAGAAUGGCCCCGAACAAAGGUAGCAGUGGGCUUAUAUGGAUUUUAGCAAGUCAGAAUACGUCAUUAUUUAGUUAACCAAUUACAAUUUACAACAUUUCAUGGUAGCCAAUUAUACUGUGACACACAGGCGUUAGUUUUGGCGGGAACCUAUCAAUUUAAAGUUCUUUGUCCUAAGAGGGUUUAAAGUGACCAAUCAUAGACACCUAAGGUACCAUGGGGCAGUGAGUUCGUGACUUUUUACAUGUUGGUCUUGCCUAGGCCAGAUCUGGGUAGAAGGGGUGGGGGAGCGUUUUGCCACCUAAGUCAUCCAUUUAGCAAGCAGGCGAAGUUACAGAAGCGAGAUAGGGUGGUUAGUAAUAUCCGAUAACCCUAAUAGGGAACUACAUAAGCUUUUAUCUCAUUCUUCGUGAAAGGUGAGUUUAAGCCGAACUUACAUACAAUAAGCUUUCUGAUAUCUUAUGAGUUGACCUAUUACAAGGUGAGCAGUUUUUUCUCAACUACAAUCACAUACAAGGGAAGGAUUAUUCUUCCUGGAAAUGGUACAUAUUUGACAAGGUGCAAAAGAGUAAUUGUGUUGAGAAAGAAUAGCUUCUGUCCCUUAGAUCUAGCUCACAUGACCAGAGGUGUAGAUGGCUCUCUUUCCCAUCCUCAGGGGUGGGCCAGCUCUGCUUAGAUCCUUCUUUAUUAUACACCUCCUCUUCCUAGACUAGCUAGAAGGUGAAAGUUUUCCCAACCAUUUAGCAGUCUACAGAGGGAGGAGGUGAGAACUACGUGACAGAGAGGAGAGGAACGGAGGGGAGAUGCACAGUGACAGUCAAAAUGCCACAAGAGGGGCGCCUGGGUGGCUCAGUCGGUUAAGCGUCCGACUGGGUCUCCCUCCCUCUCUGCCCCUUCCCUGCUCAUGCUGUGUCUCUCUCUGUUUCAAAAAUAACCAUUAAAAUGCCACAAGAGAAAAUGUAGCGUUGAUUCCUGGUAUCAGAUCCUAUGUUUUGGAUUUCCAUAAAACCUCUACAUAUAUUUUUUUUAAUGUUCAUUUUUAAGAGAGAGAGAGAGAGAGAGAGAGACAGAAGAGAGAGAAGAGAGGGAAAAGAUGUUUUUGUCCAAGAGCAGGGCAGAAUCUUCUAUCAGAGAGUAUUUCAUUAUCUGCCCCCGCACUUCUAGCCUUCAAUCAUUUUAUACCAUUUCCAGGAUCUAUCAUCCUCACAUGAGUGAAUGUGUCUCAUAGAGGAAGUAGGGUUGUUGCAUCCACACGACUCCCGAAACAGAAUGCUACGGGCACCAGUGACAGUCACAACAAAAUUUAUUGCAAUGAGAGGCAAGGCCAACCGAUCGGGACCAACACUCUUGACCAGAGUACGGUCUCAAACAGCCGGGUACAGAGGUUUUAUAGCCGACCACAUCGUCUUAUCAUCACCUGGGGACAGAACAAAGAAAUAGUUUCCAGAUGGGGGUGGAAACAGUUCAGACAUUGCCCUUGCCCCAAUCCAAUCAAACAUAAACCAGUUGAUUUCCCUUAAACUUUUGUUCCCUUGAUUGAUAGGACAAGGCUGUUAUCUCUUAAUCUACAGUGUUAAAACAAAGCUGUUAUUUCUUAAGGCUACAGGUUAGCCCUACACUACAAUUUAACCCUUACAGGGUAACUUAAGCAGAUAAAACAAUAUUUGGUUGGAGGGGCACCUGGGUGGCUCUGUCGGUUAAGCAUCAGAUUCUGGAUUUUGGCCCAGGUUAUGGUCUCAUGGUUCAUGAGUUCUGUGCUGAGGGCACACAGAGCCUGCUUGAGAUUCUCUGUCUUCCUCUCUCUCUGCCCCUCCCCACCAUGCACACAUGUGCUCUCUCUCUCAAAAAUAAAUAAACAUUUAAAAACAAAAAGGAAUCUUUGGUUGCAGAAUCUUAAGAUGAUCUUCCAGGAUCAUGGAAAUUAGACAAUGUCCCAAGUUCCCUCCAUCAAAAAUCGCAGCCUCUCCAAGUCUGUUCUUCACAUCCAUAGUCCCUAUAACCAAAGGGGGCUGAACAUUUUGUGAUCGUUUUCUCCAGGUCUAUAUUUUCCACUAGUGGCCAUUCUUACUCCCUUUGCUCACUAACACGGAACAGUACAGGUAUUCUAAAGCAAUUCAUUGGGGGCAAUUCAGAGAAUAAAAAGAAGGUCGUUAUGCAAAUACGUAUUAACUGUUAUUCAACCUUGAAAAGCAUCAUUGCUUACAAUGAAAGGGGAUGCUAGAUUCAUGUUUUCCACCUGGCUGUUAACAUUCCUUGCAUUCAGUGUCAGGCCUCUGAAUAGUUCUCUUAUUCCUCACUAAAUGGUUAUUAUUCUACCGACUGCCUUUAUGACUAAGAGCACUCCAGCUGUCUUUCCCAGCCACACCAUUCCAUUUCUGUCCUUCUACCACUCCUCCUUUCUUUGGCAGAGAGGAAGCCCCAGGUGGUCCCCUGGCUUCAGGAAAAUCUCUCUCCACCUGAACACACAAUCUGUUGAAGCAGAGAACCCAGGAACAGUACCAAGGAAAAAGAUUUUCUCUUGUUUGUGUUUUCAAGGAGGAAUCCCCAGCCCUUCUUGUGGAGAAGAGCUGGCUAGUUCCUCUUUUCCUGAAGCCUCACAAUGUCUAAAGGGCAUUGGGUGAGGCCUAGGCCUUUGCCUCUACCCCUGCUCACUAGAAAUGCCAGAGGGUGGGCUGUGGAGGCAGGGCCUUGGAAUCUGGUGGGAAUGUCUGCCCCAGAGAACCUGAAAGGAAGAAAGGUCAAGAAAGGCACUUUGUGAUUGUCAUUUACAUUUUAGAAUUGAGGUCUGCUCUCCCGCUAAUUGUGAAGUGGUUGGUUUGCAUUUGAAAGGAGCACUUAAAGAAGAGUCCUUUAUUAUUCCUUGGAAUUGGCUAUCUCUGGGAGGGGAGAUCUCUUCGGUGUUUGCAAGAUAUCUAAGCGUCAUAAACACACGGUUAAGACAGCAGUUUGGGAUGAUAACCCAAAGCAUAAAAAAUGAAUCCAUGAUAUAAAUAAAAGAUUAAAUACUUAACUCAAUGGAGAAGAGUCAAGUCUCUCUUACAGAAUUCCAAAUAAUCUAUGUAACUGGAAAAUCAGUUGGCUUAGAAUAACAUCAGAAACAGUGUAGCUAUGGUAAUUCAUCAGUAGGGGUUAAGUUCAAUUGAGGUAAUAGAUGGCAAAGAAGUAUUUUUUUAGAGACACAAUUUCUAUUUUUCAGUUCAAACUCAUCAGUGCUUUGAAACGCAGCCAACUCUCAACCAAAAGAAUCCGUGUGUGUGUGUGUGUGUGUGUGUGUGUGUGUGUGUGUGUGUAUUUCACAAAGGUGAAAGCAAAGGAAAGAGCAAAGAAGAAGGUAAGUGGGCCUUCGCUCCCUUGUCUCCCUUUGAUUGUCCAGAUUUUUCCCAAACAACAUGGCAGGCAACACCACAGGCCAGGUGUCCCACAAUUGGAGAUGCUAGCCAACAAGAUGAGACUGAGGAGGAAAGCUGGUAAACGCAAAUAAAAAGGACCGGCCAGGUGUCCCACAUUUGGAGAUGCUAGCCAACAAGAUGGGACUGGGGAGGAAAGCUGGUAAACGCAAAUAAAAAGGACCGGCCAGGUGUCCCACAUUUGGAGAUGCUAGCCAACAAGAUGGGACUGGGGAGGAAAGCUGGUAAACGCAAAUAAAAAGGACCAGCCAGAUGUCCCAGACCCGAUACUCCCCUUAUAUGCUUUUGGCUUCUGCAGUCUUUCUUGCCUCUUGCAUCAGCCAGCAGUCAGGAACCAGAAACUUGACGGUACUAGUCCUGCCCAACCCGGAAGCAUAUAUGUAUAAAAGAUCAGUAAAACCCGAACUGGAUGCUCAGCCUUUGGAGGUGCCACUGUUGGGCCAGCACUGGUGCGAAAUAAACAGUCUUUUCUGAUUCCCCAA